GACGAACGCUGGCGGCGUGCCUAAUACAUGCAAGUUGAGCGCUGAAGGUUGGUACUUGUACCAACUGGAUGAGCAGCGAACGGGUGAGUAACGCGUGGGGAAUCUGCCUUUGAGCGGGGGACAACAUUUGGAAACGAAUGCUAAUACCGCAUAAAAACUUUAAACACAAGUUUUAAGUUUGAAAGAUGCAAUUGCAUCACUCAAAGAUGAUCCCGCGUUGUAUUAGCUAGUUGGUGAGGUAAAGGCUCACCAAGGCGAUGAUACAUAGCCGACCUGAGAGGGUGACCGGCCACAUUGGGACUGAGACACGGCCCAAACUCCUACGGGAGGCAGCAGUAGGGAAUCUUCGGCAAUGGACGAAAGUCUGACCGAGCAACGCCGCGUGAGUGAAGAAGGUUUUCGGAUCGUAAAACUCUGUUGGUAGAGAAGAACGUUGGUGAGAGUGGAAAGCUCAUCAAGUGACGGUAACUACCCAGAAAGGGACGGCUAACUACGUG
rnacentral:rRNA from 1 species